UGGCUCCGUAGCUCGGGCCGAACGCGCAUGCGCGGUAGCGUCAAUCACGCACCCGCGUCACGUGGAGAAACUGACCUGGUUACGUCACACGCGCUGCCCUCCGGCGGCGUGUCUGGCGUCCCCGGGUUGGGGAGCUCAUUUAACGGGCCUCCGCCCGUGGAUGAGCACGCAAGGAUCUCUCCAUGGAUAUGUCCAUUAUGCGGGGUAGAGGCUGGAGACUGCUACUAACCUAUGAGCGGCUCCCCAGAGGUAUGGCCCUGGUUCUUAUUGGCAUUUUCGCCAUGUAAGUCUCCACUGUAACCACUACUGCAAUCCCCUUGUUUUUACCCAUAGAUGCUAACCAACCUGUUUUCCACAGUCAUAUGGUUUGCAAUAUCUAUCUUUACACAUACCGUUUACCCACUGUAUGUUUAUUUACCAUUGCAAUUGGUUACCCCCUACCUCCAUCAUGCCUCUACCCACGCAGUACUAUUUAUUAUCAUUUGUUUUGGCAAUCCAUCCCCAUUUAUCGAAGAUCCUCGCAUAUUCCCCCCAGUCCACCGCACAGGGUAUAUUGCUCCGGCGGGUUGGUGCCACGCAUGACCACCAUAUAUGGCGGAAUGAUUCUCCUGAAGAAGUGGUCAAACCACGAAACUAGUCGAGACUCAGAUCAUUCCAUAUGGUUGUAAAUUACAGAAAUUGCCUCGAGUUAUCUUAGGCCUCUGUUUUUUCAAUUUUAAUCAUGUAUUUAUUGUACAAUCCUUUAUGUAAUAAAUUUCUUUUUAAAUUAUA